rnacentral:rRNA from 1 species
CUCCAGACUCCUACGGGAGGCAGCAGUGGGGAAUAUUGCGCAAUGGGGGAAACCCUGACGCAGCAACGCCGCGUGAGUGAAGACGUAUCUCGGUAUGUAAAGCUCUAUCAGCGGGGAAGAAGGAAGACGGUACCCGACUAAGAAGCCCCGGCUAACUACGUGCCAGCAGCCGCGGUAAUACGUAGGGGGCGAGCGUUAUCCGGAUUUACUGGGUGUAAAGGGAGCGCAGGCGGCCUUGCAAGUCUGAUGUGAAAGGCCGGGGCCCAACCCCGGGACUGCAUUGGAAACUGCGAGGCUGGAGUGUCGGAGAGGCAGGCGGAAUUCCUAGUGUAGCGGUGAAAUGCGUAGAUAUUAGGAGGAACACCAGUGGCGAAGGCGGCCUGCUGGACGAUGACUGACGCUGAGGCUCGAAAGCGUGGGGAGCAAACAGGAUUAGAUACCCGCGUA